rnacentral:rRNA from 1 species
GACGAACGCUGGCGGCGCGCUUAACACAUGCAAGUCGAACGGAAAGGCCUGCUUUCCCUUGUGGAUUGCGGGUACUCGAGUGGCGAACGGGUGAGUAACACGUGAGUGAUCUGCCCCCAACUUGGGUAUAAGCCUGGGAAACUGGGUCUAAUUCCCGAUAGGACUGCAGGGUGGUGCCUGUGGUGGAAAACGAUUUUCUAGUGGUUGGGGAUGAGCUCACGGCCUAUCAGCUUGUUGGUGGGGUAAUGGCCUACCAAGGCGGCGACGGGUAGCCGGCCUGGGAGGGUGGACGGCCACAUUGGGACUGAGAUACGGCCCAGACUCCUACGGGAGGCAGCAGUGGGGAAUAUUGCACAAUGGGCGGAAGCCUGAUGCAGCGACGCCGCGUGGGGGAUGACGGCCUUCGGGUUGUAAACUCCUUUCGACCGCGAGGAAGCCACCUGGUUGGAAGGGUGGUGACGGUAGUGGUAGAAGAAGCACCGGCUAACUACGUG